AUAAUUUGAUAUCCAACCCAAUGGUUAAGUUGGGGUUGUAAUAUGAUUUUCCAACUAUAUUCCCAGCUUUGCUAAUAACCGCUUCCACCAUUUUUCCUGCGGAAUUCUUUUCUCUUUAUCAUAACAAGAGAUCAUGUACGGGAAAUCUCUACGGAGUUCUUGCUUAGGUCACUCCGGAACACCGCAACAUCCUGUACAAAAACAAAUCAAAUAUCAUGCAGGAACAAGAAGAAGAAUAAGUAUAUAUGUAUACGAGGGGUAGAACUGUAAACUACCCGAGUCAAAAGUCCGGGCUAGCUCAAACUAGUUUAAAAGUAGUAGUUGAGUCGAGCCGGGUUAAACAAGUUGAGUCUAGACGAGUCGGGCUGUAAAGUUUACAGCUCUAUCCAGGAGUAUAAAUAAAUUUAGUGGUAAAUAAGAAUCAUUUUCAUGUUUGACUACCUUUAUUUGCUCACUUGGAAUGGAAUACAAAGUUUCCAAGGCGCUACGGACCGAAAACGGCGUAGCGUAUCUACCUCCAGCAAGCACCAAAAAUGUUACCUGGAUGGAUAUAUAAAACAGGUAAUAAAAUGUAGCUGGAGCAACCACAAAAUUAACUAUCAAAUUGACAUGCAAGAAAUAUUAUGUACUUUGUGCUGUAAUGAGAUGCAAAUUUGAAAACCUAGAAUAUAGAAAAUAUUACCACCGAAUACUUGGCAGAUGACCUUUCCAAUUUUACACCAUCUACAUUCAUGAAUGUCUCCCUGUCAUAUCUUUUACGUUCACUAAUUUUGAGCCGCCGGUAGAAGAGCUUGAAUGAAUUCUGCAGAAAGUCGUCAAAAUCUUCACGUUCCUCCUGCAACAAUUUGGGAAUUCCAAUUGCAUAAUUAUAUGUCUAUGAACAUAGAUUGCAUAAUUAUGUGUAUGUGGGCAGUAUAGUUAUGUUUCCUUCAUUCCCGCUCAAAUUUUUCAGGACUCAAUAACUAUUGACAAAUCAGUGUCAAUUAAGUAUUAACUGCAACAAGGAUUCUAAAGAGAUUCACGACAAGAUAUUGACUUACCAAAUAAUAGACAAAGUGGCAAGAAUCAUGAUGUUGAAGCAGAGCAUUUGACACUUCUGCAGAGAAAAAUAAAAAAGGAGGGGUGGCUAAAAUCAUAAUUCCAGAAACAAUUGACCAUAAAUGAAUGAACUCACUUAAUAUGUUGCAUAACAUGCAUGUAAGAGCAGUUAAUCUAGAAACAAGACGUGUCAAGGAUUGCUCUAACAUAUACUAAAAAAAAUUCAAUUCCAGAAUAAGUUCAAAAACAGGAGUAUAAUUAUAAAUGCAAGAAAUAUCAAUCGAUAAAUGAAGUAAAGAUACACCUAGCUACUACAAAUUCCUUUCCAAUGGCUACAAGAUAUAAGGAAUAUAGUAUGGUGUUUGAUCGCCAUUCUAUAUAUAGAGGUUCACCUUCCACUUGGCAGAGAUUAUAAGAUUGUACAACAGUCUCCAAAUCCCAAUGACAUCAUCAUUUGUAAAAGAGGACCUAACAUAACAAUUGAAACAACCCGGGUCAAAUUCCGAGUCUGGAUCAAAUCUUAGGUCAAAUCCUAAGUCCUGAUCGUGGAUGACUUUAAACCACUAGUAGCUCAAUAUAGUACAUGCAAAUUUUUCUCCUAUCUUUCUAUGGAGGGGACUGGGGUGUUAUAACAAUCUUGGAGACUUGAGUCCAAGUCUCAAUUUUUAGUACUGUACUUGUUUUACUACUCGGCUAACUAAAGAACAAAAUAACAAGUCAGCUUGAAAAUUUUCUUUCCACCAAGAACAGAGAGGUGUAAAAAAGAAGUGUACCUUGCAAUAAUUGGCUUAAACCCCGAGAGGUAGAUGUAUCAGCACUUUCAAUAAUUCUGUUAAGCUUCCUUUGCAAUACUCGUUUCUUGUCCAAAAUUCCAACCUGAGUAUAUGGAAAAAACGCAUGCAAUUUGUACCCAACCAACCUGAAGCAUGAGAACACUUCUUUCGGUGCAUAUUUUCAAAUAAUAGAUUUUACAUAUAAAGAAUAAUAGAACUAAAGCCACCAACCAAAAAAAGCUGCAACAUCUCCAGCCCCCGAACCCCCCUUAGUCGCCUUAGGGCAACAACACGAAUCCGAAUCAGAAUCGCAAAGAGAAACUAAAAGAGAACUAGAAGCUGCAAAGGCCGAAUCUCUGCUGCGCAAAGCCAAAGCCAUGGCCAUCAACAGCAGCCCAGCCAACAAAUUGGGCUGCCAACAAAUUUCUGGAGAGUUUAUCCACUACUGACAUUGAACCAACAUAGAUUGUAACUUGAACAAACCAAUUUAUUCAAAUCAUGUAAAUUAGAAGAACCAGCUUUACUGUAAUUUCUACUCAACUCGGUUCUUAAAUUACUACUUGAAACCCUAACGAGUCGUAAUUCGGUAGGAUUUCGUGGAUUCAAACGGUCGGAUUUCAUUUUCAGUGAGAAGAAAUUAUUGUUGGACGAAAUUUGCCUUGAACAAAACUGUUGAUGAUGCUUCCACGACAUAAAAACGGGACCUGCCUUGAGCAGCGAAGCCAUGAUCACCUUUAC
rnacentral:lncRNA from 1 species